GCCCGAUUAGUUCAGCUGGAUAGAACGUCUACCUACGGAUUAGAUGAUCGUAAGUUCGAACUCUGCAUCGGUUAUGCU